UACGGAGGGUGCGAGCGUUAAUCGGAAUUACUGGGCGUAAAGGGCGCGUAGGCGGUCAGGUAAGUCGGAUGUGAAAGCCCUGGGCUUAACCUGGGAACUGCAUUCGAUACUGCCGGGCUAGAGUAUGGUAGAGGGAAGUGGAAUUCCGGGUGUAGCGGUGAAAUGCGUAGAUAUCCGGAGGAACAUCAGUGGCGAAGGCGGCUUCCUGGACCAAUACUGACGCUGAGGCGCGAAAGCGUGGGGAUCAAACAGG
rnacentral:rRNA from 1 species